UCGAUUCGAGCGCAGCGAGAAAGCGUUGCCGCAGGCAACGACCCGAAGGGCGAAACGCGCAGCGCUGAGUCAUCCUUCCCCCACCACCA
rnacentral:sRNA from 1 species